GACACGACUCUCGGCAAUGGAUAUCUCGGCUCUUGCAUCGAUGAAGAGCGCAGCGAAAUGCGAUACGUGGUGCGAAUUGCAGAAUCACGCGAACCAUCGAGUCUUUGAACGCAAGUUGCGCCUGAGGCCAACCGGCCGAGGGCACGUCUGCCUGGGCGUCAAGC
rnacentral:rRNA from 1 species